AGAGUCAGCGAAGGCAAUUGCGGACUCAAUACCUGAGUCUGAGGAAAGUCCGGACUCCCAAAAGACUAAACCUGCUGGAUAACGCCCAGUGCGAGUGAUCGUGAGGAUAGUGCCACAGAAAAAUACCGCCAAGAAUAGGGAACAGGGGACAGGUUACAGGUUACAGGGAAGACCCCUGAGAGCUGAUCACCUAGAACUAAUCAUCUGUUGUUGGUAAGGGUGCAAAGGUGCGGUAAGAGCGCACCAGCAACGUCGAGAGGCGUUGGCUCGGUAAACCCCAGGUGGGAGCAAGGUCGGAGGAACUAAGGUUGGUCUUUUCCCCGUUCCGGUUUAAGAGGUACCGCUUGAGGUGUUUGGUAACAAACAUCCCAGAUAGAUAAUUGCCCUCUUGACUGUAUACAGUUGAGAAAACAGAAUCCGGCUUAUGUCUGGCUCUCUCU
rnacentral:RNase_P_RNA from 2 species